GGUUGAAAAAAAUAUAAAAGGGGCUAGUGUCAGUUGCUGACAGAUGCUGGCAGUUGCAGGAAAGGUGGUGCCUGGGAGUGUGUUGGGCAUUUAGUUGCUGGAAUAUAAAAGGAAUCUUCAUUACAACAUGCCUGACAAGUGGGCUUAUAGAGUCUUCUAGAAUUCUUCUUCCAGAGAAAGGUAAUCUGAUACUUUUGGAGGCUUUGAUCUGUGAAAUAGGAAGAGAGGGAGGGAAGGAGGAAGAAAGGAGGGGAAGAAGGAAGACAGGAAAGAAAGAAGGAAGGAAGACAGGAAAGAAGGAAGGAAGGAAGCAAGGAAGGAAGAAAGAAGAAAGGAAAGAAAAAAGAAGCUCCGUCAUAGGAACAAAGAAAGUUUCCAGAUAGUGCCUUGAUAUCUAAGAUCCUUGAGGAGGGAGAUUCCCCUUCCAAACAAUAACUACUCUCUUCCCUCUUCACCAUCUUCCAUAUGCCAAGAAGAGUCUUCAGAAGAGUGA
rnacentral:lncRNA from 1 species